GAUGAACGCUGGCGGCGUGCUUAACACAUGCAAGUCGAACGAUGAAGCCCAGCUUGCUGGGUGGAUUAGUGGCGAACGGGUGAGUAACACGUGAGUAACCUGCCCUUAACUCUGGGAUAAGCCUGGGAAACUGGGUCUAAUACCGGAUAGGAGCGUCCACCGCAUGGUGGGUGUUGGAAAGAUUUAUCGGUUUUGGAUGGACUCGCGGCCUAUCAGCUUGUGGGUGAGGUAAUGGCUCACGAAGGCGACGACGGGUAGCCGGCCUGAGAGGGUGACCGGCCACACUGGGACUGAGACACGGCCCAGACGCCUACGGGAGGCAGCAGUGGGGAAUAUUGCACAAUGGGCGCAAGCCUGAUGCAGCGACGCCGCGUGAGGGAUGACGGCCUUCGGGUUGUAAACCUCUUUCAGUAGGGAAGAAGCGAAAGUGACGGUACCUGCAGAAGAAGCACCGGCUAACUACGUG
rnacentral:rRNA from 1 species